rnacentral:rRNA from 1 species
GAUGAACGCUGGCGGCGUGCUUAACACAUGCAAGUCGAACGAAGAAACCUUGAAUGAGAGCUUCGGCAGGAUUUCUUGGUAUCUUAGUGGCGGACGGGUGAGUAACGUGUGGGCAACCUGCCCUAUACUGGGGAAGUAAAUCACUGGAAACGGUAGACUAAUAACCGCUUGUUCAUUGCGAGAGGGCGAUCCUCCUUGCAAGAAAAGGAAGUAAUUCGGUAUAGGAUGGCCCGGCCAUCUGAUUAGCUAGUUGGUGAGAUAACAAGCCCACCCAAGGCGACGAUCAGUAGCCGACCUGAGAGGGUGGAUCGGCC